AGGAUGGCUAGUUGUGUUAGU
rnacentral:siRNA from 1 species